rnacentral:rRNA from 1 species
ACGAAGGGUGCAAGCGUUAAUCGGAAUUACUGGGCGUAAAGCGUGCGUAGACGGCGCAUUAAGUCAGCUGUGAAACCCCCGGGCUCAACCUGGGACCUGCAGCUGAUACUGAUGUGCUUGGAGUUUGAGAGAGGGUGGUGGAAUUCCUGGUGUAGCGGUGAAAUGCGUAGAGAUCAGGAGGAACACUAGUGGCGAAGGCGGCCACCUGGCUUAAAACUGACGUUGAGGCACGAAAGCGUGGGGAGCAAACAGGAUUAGAUACCCUGGUAGUCCACGCCCUAAACGAUGAUCACUGGACGUUGGGAGGAAUUAGCCUCUUAGUGUCGAAGCUAACGCGUGAAGUGAUCCGCCUGGGGAGUACGCUCGCAAGAGUG